GCCCCUAUAGCUCAACGGAUAGAGUACGGGUUUGCGGAACCUGGGAUUGAGGUUCGAUUCCUCAUGGGGGCACAA
rnacentral:tRNA from 1 species